AAGCAUAGUGAAAGUUUGCUUAGUUUUAUCUCUAGGAGAGUAUCUUCUUCAGCAGGGUUACUAGAUAUUCUGGUGAGGGCAGAGAGGUUCAUGGUCACUGAAGAAAAUGUCAAGAAGAUUCAUGAAUUGCUAUUGAAAUUAUUGGGCGAACCUCAAUUUAAAUAUGAAUUUGCAAAAGUAUUUAUGAGCUAGGGUUCAUGGUCACUGAAGAAAAUGUGAAGAAGAUUCAUGAAUUGCUGUUGAAAUUACUGUGCGAACCUCAAUUUAAAUACGAAUUUGCAAAAGUAUUUAUGAGCUAUUACCCAACUGUUGUGAAUGAGGCAAUAAGGGAAUGU
rnacentral:lncRNA from 1 species